rnacentral:rRNA from 1 species
GAUUUCUGGGUGACUGUGCUAGCCCGCUCCUUUCCGGGAGUGUGCCCGUACGUCGUUCAUCCUUCUAGAACCUUGCCUGCCGUUCAUUCGGCCGGGCAUGUGUGGUCUAGAUCUUUUACCUUGAAUAAAUUAGAGUGCUUAAAGCAGGCUUACGCUACGAGCAUGGAAUAAUAAUAUCGGACUUUGGUUCUAUUUUGAUGGUUUCUCUCUGAAGUAAUGAUUGAUAGGGCAGUUGGGGGUCUUAGCAUUCAGUGGACAGAGGUGAAAUCCCUGGAUUCACUGAAGUAACUACUGCGAGAGCAUU